ACACAACCCUUAUUAGAGCCUAAUUAAAACAAGUAUCAAAAAUUCCCAUUCAUUUAACUACAUUCCACAUUAAGGCAUACAUUGUUGGUAUCGUCAUACAAACUAAACUUGCAAGGUAACAACAACAUGCCAAAAUAAUUCUCAUUAAUUUGGAGAAAACAACUCCCUUUGUUCAUUAAAUAAUACCAUUGUAUUACCAUUUAGCUAUUGCAAUUCUUUUCCUGAUAGCGGGUCACAUGUAUAAGACCAACUGGGGUAUUGGUCAUGGACUAAAAGAUAUUUUAGAAGCCCAUAAAGGUCCAUUUACAGGUCAGGGCCAUAAAGGCCUAUAUGAGAUCCUAACAACGUCAUGGCAUGCUCAAUUAUCUCUUAACUUAGCUAUGUUAGGCUCUUUAACCAUUGUUGUAGCUCAUCAUAUGUAUUCCAUGCCCCCUUAUCCAUAUCUAGCUACUGACUAUGGUACACAACUGUCAUUGUUCACACAUCACAUGUGGAUUCAAUUUUACAAAUUCCACAGUUUUCAUAAUUACAACUAAUUUCAUAUUAUAAGGUUGGGGUCAUAACCAAUUUGAAAGUGACAAAUUUGAGAAAUCACAAUUCCCUAGUUCAUUCACCAUACCUAUAUACCCACAAGUUCAAAACCAUAUUUAAAAUAUGGAAAUUAUAUAUAAACCAUGAGAAACAUUGUUCAAUUCAUAAACAUUCAAAACCCCAACCCUUGUUUCAAAACCAUCACAAUAAUAUCAUGAACAAUACUUUAAAUCACAUUCUUUUAAAAAAAAUUAACAAUGAGGGAAGCGUAACAUGCUUGUAAUAUUAAGAUGUGCGGAGAGAAAUCGCCCUUGAAAGUCCUAAUUGACCAACCUCUUAAAACCCUAGCUGUUCUUGACCUUAAGGAAUUUGAGAGAGUUGAGAAGUUACUUUGAUUGUUUAUGAGUGAUAAUAACACCCUAAAGUGGUUAUAAGACAUGGGUUUCAAGUUGGGUAAGAGGAGAAAUGUCUAUAAUUCCCUCAACUUAAAAACUUUAGAAGUAUCGCCUUUGACUAUGAGUCAACCCCUUUACUCAUAACCACUCCUUACGACUCAUCACCAUGAGUCGUAACCAAGGAAGUACCUACAAGGAACCCUCAAUUUUUAUCCUUAUGAAUCAUUGGCACCACUCGUAAUGGAACCCUAUGACUCAUAGGGUCCAGUCAUAGCUGAACUGAUACUGAUUAACUGAACUAAUACUAGUGGUAUUGUAUAGCGAAGCUAAACUAAGUUUACUGAGUUCCCUUGACUAAAGGAACUUAAUAAGUUCUGAGGACUGAAUGAGACUACUGAAAUUACUGAGAUCACUAGGAAUACUGUUGUUACUGAGAUCACUAAGAUUACUGAGUGAGGUUACUAAACUACUGAGAUUGCUAAGAUUUCUGAGGUUUCCUGAGUUACAUGACUAACUAAAUUCUAUAGACCAUGGCUUGACUGAGAGUAUCAUGAUAACAUGACAUGGCACUAGGCAUACAGCUAUAUUAUUUUGGGUACAAGUACCCCCAAGACUCGAUGGAAGGAAACAAACACACAUGACUGACUUGAUCAUAAGAAUAGAGUCCACAAUUCACAAUAUCAUAAGUAGGGGAUUUCAUACUACACUUAGUUCUCAACAUCUUAUACAUGGAAGGGGAUGCACACAACAUGUAUGUACUCGCGUUGCUUCAAUAUCAUGCUCAUUCUAUAUCACAACAAUAACACACAACAGUAACAUGGAGUUCAUGUGGAAUCAUAAAGAAUAGAACAUGGGCUUGUCAUUUAAGCACUAUUAAGUCAUAAAACAUGGAUUCUAUCAUUCUUGGCAUUUUAUUAAACACCUUACAUGUACAACUUUGGGCCUAGGUCCACUUAUCAAUUUGACAAACCUAAUCCAUCAAAAAUUCAUGGGUUUCAACUAACCUACUCACAUGCUUCAUGAAAAUACAUCAACAUAAAACAUUGAAUCCAAACAACAAUUAUCAACAUUAAUAUAGUCAUAACACAACAAGAAAAUCAUAAUUUAUAAUUUAAAACAUAAUUCUUGAGCUCCAUGGAUGAAAGGGAUCCAUGGAUGAACACUACGCAUACCUGACCCAGGGUUCUUGGCGUUUUUGAACUUGAAGGGUUUGAAAUCCCUUGAUUCUUGAAGAGGAUUGGGUCUUGUUCUUGGGGAUUAAAUUCAGAGAGAAACCCUAGUUUUUGUUUGUGGAAUAACAAUGAGUAAAAUGGCUAAAUUCGAACUCAUCUGGGUAUAUAGGCGAGUGGUAAGUGACCAAAAUACCCCUGUUAAAAUGACCUGGAAAUAAACUGAAUGUGGUGUGUGAAGGUACGACUGACGGUCCAUCAAAAACUUGACAGUCCGUCACUUAGCUCAUCAGAUGUGGACCAGAAAUGGGGUUCACUAGAUAAGAGUUGACGGCCUGGAUGAUGGUCCGUCAUAACUUUGAUGGUUCGUCAACUCGUCCAUCAGUCCUUAUCCAGUAUGUAGAUCAAUUUCCUUGCUGUGAUGGUCAAAGUGGUGGUCAAUCACUUAUGUAGCGGUCCGUCAACUUGGCCGUCAUACAUAGGCAUUUCCGAUAGUUCUAAGUAAAACGUCCAUAACUUCCUCAUCUGAUGUCGAAUUUGGACAAAAUUGGUACCGUUGGAAAGCUAACUCAAUUUCCCAUGUGAUAGAGAAAAUCUAAAAAAAUACCAUGUGUACAAAGAUAAUUUUGCAUUUCAAUGUAAGUCCUAGCAUCCUUGACAUAUUUCUAGCUAGAAAAAAACACGGGUAUUACAAAAUGUGGUGCUAAUAUUGGUUUGGAUUUUUCAGGGUAUUACAAUUCUGGAAUACAAGGAUUUCUUCUAAGGAUACACCCUCAACUGUCAGUAUGUGUCCUCAUCCUUAAGUUCACUGGGUGCUAAAUCCUACUCCCAUCUGAAUAGACACUGAAUAUGAUUAACUGAACUGAACUGGACUGAGUUCAUGGAGUUUUGUUGACUGAUGGAAUACUACAGAAAUUACUAAAUUACUGAGAUUUUUGAGAUUUACUGGGAUUAUUGGGUUUACUGAAUUUUCCUGAGUCACAUGAAUGGCUAAAUUCUACUGACCAUGGCUUGACUAAGGAUAUCGUGAAAACAUGACACUGACUCUAGGUACACAGCUAAAUUGUUGGGUAAAAGUACCCUCAGGACUCGAUAGCAUGAAACUGACAAGACUUGACACUUCUUGAACACAUGACCAAUAUCAACAAUUCAUAAUAUAAUAAUUUAGGGAUUUCAUGAAGUACAUGGUUAUCAUAAUCUUGUACAUGGAAGGAAUGCAUAUAAUCAAUGUCAAAAUUCCAUAUUCUAUCAUCAUGAGCAUUUCAACAAACAUCUACAUUUCACAUCAAUAGCAUGGGAGUCAUUUGAACAUAAGGGUAAAACAUGAAUCCAUCACUUAAGUCCCAAUCGAGCUAUGCAUAGGUAUUUUAUCAAAUACCUUAUAUGCAUCACUUAGGGCAUAGGUAUAAUCAUCAAUUAACACCUUAUGAACCACUUAAUUCAUGGAUUUAAACUCAUAUACUAAUGUAAUUCCAUAAAAACACAUUGAGAUUCCAACUUAGGAACCAUACAACAACAAUUACAUAAACAUAAUCAACCCAAAACAUAAUAUUCAUAAUACAUGAUUUAAAACUUGAUUCUUGGUCUUCAUGGAUGAAAGGAAUCCAUGAAUGAACACUAUGCAUACCUGAGAAAGGAAACCUUAGAGUUCUUGGAUGGAUUUCUCGAGAUUUGCUUUAGAAACUUGGGGCUAGGGUUUUCUAUCUUUGAGAGAGAAUGAUUUAUUUCUUGAGAGAUGCGGGUAAACAAUGAGAUAAUAGGUCUUUUUAGGGUCUAAUGUCGUGUAUGGGUGAUUUGGGGUUUUUGGAAUUUACCAAAUAGCCCCUAAAAGUAAAUGACGGAACCUAAAAAAUCCUGAUUUUACAUGAUGGCGCGAUGCAGUGAAAUCACUCCAACUCACUGGAAACUGGACAUUUGGGAAACUAGUUUGUGGAGUGACAUGGUGGAAAUCGUGUUGCCACCUUAGUUUGCGACUUGGAAGUUUGGCACAACGUAGAGACAUCGCGGAGAUUCACUAGAAAAAAAAUAAUUCUGAAUUUGAGCCUUGGUGCGACGUACCAUAAUCGCAGAGUCUCAUUAGAUUUUGAGGAUUGCCAUUUUGGCAUGCUCCGCGAUGCGUUGAUGGCUCAGAUGAUACACUGUCUCACUAAAAAGGCUCUAACUCUUCACUCGAGUGUCGAAUUUGGGUGAAUUUGAUAUCGAUGGAAAGCCUAUUGAAUUUUCCACACAACAAAAAGUGAAAAUCUUAUAAAUUCCACAUAUAUAAAAUUUGAUUUAUCUUUUAAAGAAAAUAUUUAAUAAUUUUGGAAUGAUUUUAAGGUUGGUAGAAGUACGGGGUAUUAUAUAAACUCAUCAUAAAUAAUGUUAUGUUUUCUCCUAAGUCUAGGAGAAACUUGUUGAGUUUUAAAGAUAUUCGUAAGAAUGGUUAUCAUAUCAAGACAAUUUAUGAGAUGAAUCUUAAAUAUCUUGGUAUCACCAAGAAUGUCUCUGGGCAGACAUGUGUUAUAGAAAAGUUCCCUGCUUAUCUUUUGGCCUGUAUUGGACAAAGAUUUGUGAAAUUGAGGCACAUUCUAUCGUAAAUCAGAAGUUUACUAAUUCCAAUACUUUUGUACUUUGGCAUGAUCGUCUGGGACAUCCUGGAUCUAUAAUGAUGAGACAAAUUAUAGAAAAUUCAAAUGGGCAUCCAUUAAAUAACUUAAAGUUUCUUUCAAAUGGUGAAUUUUCAUGUAAUGCUUGUUAUCAAGGAAAGCUGAUUGUGAGGCCAUCACCAAUAAAAGUUGGGAUUGAGUCCCUCGCAUUCUUGGAACACAUACAUGGAGAUAUUUGUGGACCCAUUCACCCACCUAGUGGGUUAUUUAAAUACUUUAUGGUCCUAAUAGAUUCUUCUUCUUGAUGGCCUCAUUUAUGGCUAUUGUCAUCUCACAACUUGACAUUUGUAAAAUUAUUGGCACAAAUAAUAAGAUUACGGGAAUAGUUUCUUGAUAAUUAGAUUAAGUCUUUUCGCCUUGAUAAUGCUACAAAAUUUUCAUUCCAAGCAUUUAAUGACUAUUGCUUAUCAAUUAGAAUAAGAGUGGAACAUUCUGUAGCUCAUGAUCACACUCAAAAUGGCCUUACCAAGUCAUUAAUUAAACAUCUGUAGUUGAUAGCAAGACCAUUACCUAUGAAAACUAAGUUGGUCACUUUUGUUUGGGUUCAUGCAAUUUUGCAUGCUGUAACACUUGUUCAUCUUAGUCUGACAAAUUAUCAUAAAUUUUCUUUAUUGUAAUUAGUUUUAGGUCAAGAUCCUAAUAUAUCUCAUAUGAGAAUUUUUAGGUGCGGUGUAUAUGUGCCUAUAGCACCAUCAAAUUGCACCAAGAUGGACCCACAAAUAAGUUUACAAAUUUAUGUUGGGUUUGAAUCACUCUCUAUUAUUCACAAUCUUAAACCAUUAAUGGGAGAGUUCACUGCUCGAUUUGCAGAUUAUCGAUUUGAUGAGAUAGUUUUCCAAAAAUUAGGGAGAGAAGAUAGUGACAUCAAAAGAGAAAUUUUGUAGAAAAAUCCAUCACUAUCUCAUCUUGAUCCAAGGCUUUUGUUAGUGAGCAAGAAGUACAAAAGAUUAUUCAUCUACAGAAAAUUACAAAAUAAAUUUCAGAGGCAUUUACAGAUUUGAAAAGGAUCAUCAAAUCACAUAUCCCUGCAGAGAAUUUCCCAAUUUGAAUUGAUGUCCCUAAAAAAUUAUCUAAUAGUUUCAUAGCUAAUGAAUCUAAAGCACCCUUGAAGCGUGGUAGACCAUUAGGUUCUAAGGAUCGAAAUCUUAGAAAAAAAUAAAUAAAUGAUCAAGAUGAUACUACAAAAGAUCCUCAUAUGGAAGCUAAAGAUUUGAGAAAUGUUGAUAUCCAUGCAGGGAUCAAUGAGCGUGAGACUCAAGAAAAUGAGGAACUAUCCAUAAAUUCAAAUGAUGUUGAAACUAAUUUUAAUCGGUCUAAAAGAAUAGUGGAUUAUGUCUUUGCAUAUAAUGUUGCAACAAAUAUCAUGCAAGAUAGUAAGGAUCUUGAACCUCAAUCUAUCAUAGAAUGUUGACAAAGAAAUGAUUGGCCAAAAUGGCAAGAAACAAUUCAAUCAGAAUUGAAUUCACUUAUCAAAUAUGAAGUUUUUGGACCUAUAGCUUAAAUACCUAAUGUUGUUAAAACCUUUUGGCUAUAAAUGGGUCUUUGUGCAAAACAAAAAUGAAAAAAAUAAAAUACAGAGGUACAAGGCAUGCCUUGCUGCACAAGGAUUUUUACAACGGCCUGGUGUGAUUAUGACGAGACAUAUUCACCAAUUAUGGAUGCAAUAACAUUGCAUUAUCUUAUUAGUUUUACUGUCCAUGAGGUACUAGAAAUGUAUUUGAUGGAUGUGGUAAUAGCCUAUCUAUAUGGAUCACUUGAUAAUGAGAUAUAUAUGAAAAUUUUCAAAGGAUUUAAAAUGCCGAAAGCAUACAGUUCAAAACCUCAGAAAAUGUAUUCCAUUAGAUUGCAAAGAUCAUUGUAUGGUUUGAAGUAAUCUGAACGCAUGUGGUAUAAUCGUCUUAGCGAAUAUUUAUCUAAGGAAGGUUAUAUGAAUGAUGAAAUUUGCUUAUGUAUUUUUAUAAAGAAAACAACGUUAGAGUUUGUUAUACUUGUUGUCAAUAUUGAUGACAUAAACUUUAUUGGAACUCCAAUAGAGCUUCAAAAGGUAAUUGAUUACCUAAAGAAGGAAUUUGAUAUGAAAGAUCUCAGAAAGACAAUUAUGCCUUGGUUUGCAAAUUACAAAUUGAGCAUUUGACAAACGGAAUCUUCGUCCAUCAAUCUGCCUACAUAGAAAAGGUGUUGAAAAAUUUUAUAUGGAUGGAGCACAUCCAUUAAUUACUCCGAUGGUUGUUCGAUCACUUAAUGUGAACAAGGAUCCAUUCCGACCUCAAGAAAAGAAUGAGGAACUCCUUGGUCCUGAAGUACCAUAUCUUAGUGAAAUUGGUGCACUAAUGUAUAUUACAAAUACUACAAGGCCUAAUAUAUCCUUUUAAGUUAAUCUAUUAGCAAGGUAUAGUUCUGCUCCUACUAAGAGACAUUGGAAUGAGACCAAACAUAUAUUACAGUAUCUAAAUGAGACUAACGAUAUGGGCUUAUUUUAUUCUAAAGAUUGAAGUCCCAAUCUUGUUGGUUAUGUUGAUGUUGGGUACUUAUCUAACCCGCAUAAAGUUUGGUAUCAAAUAGGCUAUGUGUUUAUAUAUGGGGGUACGACCAUAUCUUGGAGAUCUACAAAGCAGUCUAUCGUAGUCACCCCCUCGAAUAAUGCUGAGAUUAUAGCUAUUCAUGAAGCAAGCCGAGAAUGUGUGUGGUGGAGGUACAUAAUACAUCUCAUUCGAGAAAAAUGUGGUUUGAAAUGUGAGAAAGUCUCCACGAUUUUAUAUGAAGAUAAUGCAGCAUGCAUAACAGAACUUAAGGGAGGAUUCAUAAAAGGAGAUAGAAUGAAAUACAUUUUGCCAAAGCUUUUCUGUACACAUGAGCUCCAAAAGAAUGAAGAUAUUAACGUACAACAGAUUUGUUCAAGGGACAAUGUAGUUUAUUUAUUCACCAUGUCUCUUCCAACUGUAACUUUCAAAAAGAUAGUGCACAAGAUCGGAUGCAAAGGUUCAAGGAUGUUCUCAUUAGGGGGAGUUAAUACGUGUUGUACUCUUUUUUCCUUACGUGGUUUUAUCUCACUGGGUUUUUCUUGUAAGGUUUUUAAUAAGGCAGCCUAUAUGUGUAUUGUCUAUCAAUUAGACAUUCAAUGGGGAGUAUUAUAAAUGUACUAUAUUUAGUGAAUGUCUACUUUACCAUAUAUAGUGAAUACCUACUUUACCAUAUAUUGUGAAUGUCUAUUUAUGAAAAAGUUAUAAACCCCAAGGUUAGUUUUCCCCUAUAAAUAAAGAGAUUUUCCUUCAUUGUUAUUCAUCCCUCAAGAGAAAUAAGAAUUACUCUCUACUUUAUCUCUACUCUUCUUCUUUAUUAUUUUAUAACAACAAUUCUAAUUUCAUGUAAUACAAAACUUAUUAAUUAAGAAUAUAAAUAGAUAAACAGUCAACCAAUAUUUCUAUUUAUAUAUAAUAAUAGUAUAAAAUUAUAAUUUAAAAUAAAAACUCAAAUUAUAUCUCUAGCUAGAUUUUGUAGUAAUAUAAAGCUAUAAUUUAAAAUAAAGUAUGAUAGAUAAAUUUAAAUACUCGAAAAAUUAUGAACCAUACAAUUAAGAAAUAAAUUAAAUUUCAAGAAUUAGAUAAAUAUAUAUUUAUUUAUAAUACUUUAAAAACAAAUAAUAACUAUGAAUAUUAAGCAAAAUGAUAAGUUGUAUAAAUAACACAAUAACUACAAGUCAGGACAAAAUUAGAAAACAAGAUAUAAUUAUAGUCUAAAAAGUUUGAAGGAUAUGACUUUCUAUUUAGAUAAGAAAUUAUUUUUAAUUAUAAUAAGUAGAGCCUUAAAUUAUACAUACCCUGUAACUAAAAUUUUGAUAAAUGGUAACUAAAAUGUUUAUGAAUAAUGAAUUAAAUAAAUGUUAAAAUAUAGAAAUUUAAGUAACUUAAAUUUUAAAUUAGCAUUCUAUGCUUUGAAAUAAGCAAGAACAUAAAUAUCAAAAUAAAAAGAAAAUAAUUAAAUAUAGUAGAAGAAAAUGCAAAGAUGGGGGAGUAAGGGGGUAGGGGAAGGGGGUUAAUUAAUUUGAACUAAUUUUGAGAAUAUAAUAUGGUAAUUAGAUAAUACAUGUAUUACUAUCUAUAAAUUUUAUAUUAAUUAAAAGAGCACUUGAUAACUACAUCAAGGCAACUGAUAAGCUAUUAAAAAUCAAUAUUAACAAGUUAAUAAAUUUAAAUAGUGACAAUGUAAUAAAUAUACUAUGAAACAUAAAAGGCUUCAAUAUUUUAUAAUUCAUUGUCACUAUCUAUAUAGAAGGGGAUCCUUGGAGUAACUGGUAAAAUUGUUGUCAUGUGAGCAGGAGGUCACAUAUUCAAUCCUUGAAAACAGCCUCUUGCAGAAAUGCAAGGUAAGACUGCGUACGAUACACCUUUGUGUUGGGACCCUUCCCCAGACUCCGCGCAUAGUGGUAGCUUUAGUGCACCGGGAUGCCCCUUUUUAUUAUCACUAUCUAAAUAGAUUUUGGUAUAGACUUGUGGGGGUUGGGGAAGGAUUUGUGGGUGGGGUUUAUUUGAUUGAGGAAUAAUAUGAUAAUUGAAUUUGGUUUAAGGUAAUAUGAUUAACAUGCUCGAACAUCAUAAUUUGAAAAGAUUAGAAAUAAUAUUUUUAUUUGCAUGUCGUGCAUGUACGUAUACUAGUAAUUAUAAUACUUCAAUAAUCUUCUUCUAGCUACAUGCAUAGGUGGAUUCAAGAUUUAAACUUAAUGAGUUCAUUCUAACCUAUAUCAAUUAUUAACUUUGCAUAAUUUACAUCUCAUUGAUCUAUUUUCUACUUCAUUGUUGUAGGUACUGAACUUUUUAAAGAUAACUAAUUUAUUUCAUCACAUGAGUCAUCUGCAAAAAUUAUUUCAUGUAUAAGUAUGUUUUUUUUUGGAGAUAAUACAUCAAAACCCCCCUAAACUUGUCCCGACAGCUUACUUUAGCACUUAAACUUUAUGGAUAAUUAUUUACCCCCCUAAAUCUUUUUGAAGUGAUUAUAUACCACCUUAAAAAUACAACAUGACUCUCACUAUGGAGAGUGUAUUAUACUUGUGCCACAUCAACUCUACAUCAGUGCCACAUCAAAAUUUAUUUUAAAAAAGUGACCCCACUAAUUUAUUUAUAAUACAAUAUUAAAAAAAGAAAAGGAAAAAUCUCCCCCCUCCCCCUCUCCGCGCAUCCCUUCCUUUUCCCUUUCUUCUUCAAGCCUCACCACCCUCCCCACAUUCUUCUUCCACCCCCAUCCCUACCCUUGGCAGCCCGCACCCCGCCCCAAAAUCCAUAAAGAUGAAUUACAAAAUAAAGCUUAUGAAAUUCAAACCAAACAUCCAAAUUUAAGUACGAAAUUCAAAUUUAUGAAUUAAACCAAACAUUCAAAUUUAGCUUUAUAGAUUACGAAUUUCGUAAUCCAUAAAGAUCAAGUUGCCACUUCAAAUCAAAGCUUGCAUCCAAACCAAACAUCCAAAAUUGUUUGUUUAUUCAAAUCAAAACUUGCAUCAAUAACCAAACAUUUUAUACACAUUUUUUCUUAUAAAAUUGAUAAAAUCUAAUAAAAAUGAAGAUGGUGGGUUUGAAGAAGGGGAAAUGGGAUUGGGCGGGGUGGCUUGGGGUAGGGGUGAAGGUGUAAGAAAAAAAUAAAAGAAAGAGGUGUGAGGUGGGAGUAGAGGUGGAGGUGUAAGAAAAAAUAAAAGAAAGGGGUGCGGGGGUGUGGGAUGAGGGUGAGGGGUGGGUGGCAUUGGAGAAGAAAGGGUGUGAUUUGGAUAUAUAGAAUAAGAAAGGGUGUAAUUUGGAUAUAUAGGAGAAGAAAGGGUGCGAUUUGGAUAUAUAUAUACUAUAUAAAAAUGGGACCUUUUUUUUUAAAAUUAAAUCACGUUUUUUUUUCUUUUUUUUUAAAAAAACAAUUCUACGUCAGAUUUAGGGUUUAAAUUAAUUCACUUUAAAGAUAUUAAGGGGGUUAAAUAAAUGCGUGUUAAGUUUACGUGCUAAAGUAAGUUGGAAUGACAAGUUUAGGAGGGUUUUGAUGCAUUAUCUCUUUUUUUGGCUUUAGUUGUAUUGGCAACAAUAUUUGAAUUCCUUUAAUAAUGAUACAAUUUUUAUUAUUCCCACAGCAUACGUCAGAAUAUGAAUCUUUCGAGUUAAGUAAUUUCCAUUGUAGUUUGAUUAGGUCACAAUUUUUUUCUUUUUUGAAAAACCGUUUAUGGCUGUUUAUACAAAAUAAUUUCUUUGUUCUUCUUUAAUUUCUUUCUUGUACAAAAACUUUCUGUAAUAAUAAUACAAUUUUUAUUAUCCCCAUAGCAUAUGUCGGAAUAUGAAUCCCUCGAGUUAAGUAAUUUUCAUUUUAUUUUGGUUAGGUCAUUGCUUUUCCUUUUUUUAAAGUUUAUGGUUGUUCAAUUAUUUACAGAACAAUUUCUUUGUUCUUAAAAGAACUUGAAUCAAUUGAUAGUAUCAAUCAUUUACAAGAAAAAGGGUUUGUAAAGUUUAAAGUUAUAGUUUGAUAUUGCAUCCAAUUAUUUUAGUUAAAUUUUGGUUUUGAGCACUACAUUUUUUAUGUGAUGUAUAUUCAGGUAGAGUUUAAGAUUUGCUACUAGAUAUUUAGUAGCACCUGAUAUCUAGCAAAUCGGUGAGCACUUCAAUCAUGUAGGAGGCAGCUAGAGUCUUUAACUUUUAGUUUAAAUUUGGAUUCUAUAAAGUUUACAGGACCUUGUCCCGAUUAGCUUUUUGUUGUUGAGCGGGAGACAGAAGUACCAUAAACAUUCAAUCUUUGUGAUAUCUUAGGACAUGACAAGGGUCUGAAGGUCCUAAUAUUUCGAACUUACAUAGUUGAGACUCCAAAUAUUCUGGAGUUAUAGUAAGAAUCUUGUGUUUAAACAAGGUUUGCUAUAAGAAAAAUUCUUGUAAUUUUUUUAAAUCCAGCGCUCUGUGAUGGAGUUUUACAUGUAAAAGUUUCAAACUUCAGCAUUUUGUGCUGGAGUUUUUGUGUUUUAGCUAGGGAUAUUCUUAUUAAAACUUUAUUGCUACAUGAAGAAACGACGAAACUUUGAAUAGUUCUGAAAUGCUGCUAAAAACUCAAUUUGUUUCCGCACUUCGUUUUAAGGACGAAUCUAGAGUGUAGCGAGGGCGUUCACUCAAACCCUAGAAAAGAAUUACACUAUCUAUAUAAGGUAUUUUUCAACCUUUUAUGUGUAUGUAUACAGUUUGAGAUUAGAGGAUAGCUUUGAGGGGCUUGAAAAUUCAACUUGAGGUUCCAAAUUUAAAUCUCAAGCACUAGAUUUUUAAUUUUCGAACUCCCUUUGUGCAAAUACUGAUACAAUAAAGACCAAGAACACUAAAAACACACACUCAAAAUAGUCCACAAGUUCAAGAGAACCGACGACCCUUUGAGUGACUCCUCUCGGAUUCAAGAUAUACAAUAAGAACACAAUGUAAUGAGGUGUUUAACACCUAUUUUUCAGCUAACCAUAAAACUAUAUUAGCAACACAAGACAAGAACAACAAUAUUAAAACAACAAGACAGUCACAGGAUUACAUUAAUCAAGUCAAGAACCGAAUACUACAACAACAUACAAGAUAGAUAGUUAGACCUUGGUUGGAAUAAUCUUAAGAACCGAAGAAUAUGGUACUCUUGAACCCUUAACACUACUCAAAACGGUUAACCUAACUCUAUGUUGACACAAAAGGGCCUUUACCUCCUCUAAACCCCAACAUUUCAAGCCAACAAUGCAAAUACAAGUGAAUCUUCACUUGUCUAGCCUUAGGUACGGUUGGAGCUCCUAAGAAGAGAACUAAAAUGUUACAAAGUUGUAAGUCUCAAAAAUAAUCAACUAAGUCUCAAAAAUCCUAAGUUGGUCUAUUUAUAUUACAACACAAAAUAAGACUAAAAUGAUAAAAGUGCCUCUUAAAUGAAAAGGCUCCAAAGGGCCGCCCAUGGAGUGCAUACAUAAGGGCAGUUUUGGGAUUCAUUUACACUUAAGCUCGGGCCUUCUCUCGAUUUUCUUUGACUUUCUCAAAAUAUAUCUAUCUACGAGAUUGUACUCAUAUCAUCCUCUCCACCUUGAAAGGAGUUUGACCUCAACCUCACGACUUCACCAACCUCACGGAUCCUCUAUAGAAUCACCUUCUCAUUUUUUGCCCCAAAUCUUAGAGGCUUAGCCAAGGACUCCUCGAGAUCAUCAAGUAUGCUUUGGUGAGUAUGCUUCCCAAUUUUACCCUUAGGAUGCACAUGAUCAUGUACCUGCAUGCAAGAAAAAAGAGUGCUAGGAAAAAUGCUAGUACCUACGUUAGUGAGAAGUGAAGGCUCCCCGAGGGUAAGUCCCAAAAGUAAGGACCCCUUGUCUCUUUUCUCCUUGAUUCCCUUCCCUUCUCCUCUAUUCCCACUCUUGGUCUUUCCCUUUCUCUCCUUCUUCCUCUUUUCCUCUAACUCUCUCACUUGUUAAUUUACUUCGACCACUUGUAUCGGUGAGAGAUAGUGGAGUGUAUACCUUCAGCCAUGGAACCCCAAGGUAUAGCUAUUGGCUUAUCCAUCAUGCAUGGUAGCUCUAUCAUACUGCCAUGGUCUUCCCAACAAUAGGUGACUCGUUUGCAUAGGAAUAAUAUCACAUAACACCUCGUCAAAGUAGUUCCUUACCUUACACUGUAUCACCACUUGUCUAUUUACCUUUAACUCUCCACACUCAUUUAACUAUUAAAGGUUAUACGGUCUUGAAUAACGGAUAAUGGGCAGUCUCAAGAAGUCAACCAAGGUACUACUAGCAAUAUUGACGCAACUACCUCCAUUAAUAACCAUAGAACACACAACUCCUUUAAUAAGGCAUUUGGUGUUAAAAAGGUUUUCCCUUUGACUAGGAUCACCCAAAGCCUUAAUAACCAUGGCCUUCCUAACUACGAAACAUGACACUUCAAGAUCGCCCUCACACGGCCAAUUAUAUUCCUCCUCUCCUUCCUUGGGCUUCUUGGGUUCUACCCUCUCUCCACCUUAAGAUUGAUCAUUAAUCUCCUUCGAUUCAAGUCCCACCUCCUCUCUAAGAAAAUAUAAUUUCCUCUCCCUUAGAAUUAUAUUUCUCCUAUUCGUACACUCACUAGCCUUGUGUCCCAAACCUUGGCAUUUAAAACAUUGAAAGCCUUUAGAAUUAGGAAAGGAAUAUGGUUUACCUUUAUUUCUCAGAGGGUGCCUUUUGUGAGCCUUGUUCUCAGCUUGGGCAUCCUUAGAAUCGGGUUGUUCCACCUUGUAUGAGUCACUCUUGUCAUUGUUCCAACUCAAGGGAGAUUGGGCUUUAAACUUGGACCCCGAUUUCUCUCGCAACUCUCUUUCAAUUUCCAAUGCAGCUUGGAAGAUGGAAUCAAGGGUGUCAAACUUGUGAAUUGUUUAACGUGUGGUAAUACUCUAUUUAACCCCACCUUGAAUCAAAUGAUGUCGUGACUCACUUGCUCCCCUUUAUGAUCAAGUUUCAAAAUGAGCUGUUGGAACUCAUCGUAGUAAGCCAUGACGCUUUUGUUUCAUUGUCUCAAGUUAUAAAACUUGGAAAGAAACUCUUGAUAAUAUCUUUUGGGUAGGUACCUUUGUCUCAUGAGGUACCUUAGCCGAAACCAGGGAGGGGGCUGCCCCUCAACCAAAACAUUGCCAAAACGCUUAACAUACUCCCACCAUAUAGUAGCAUAACCAUCAAAGUGAGCAAUAGCAUAGCAACUCUUAUUCUCCUCGAUAAGAUCAUUGACUUGGAAGACCCUAUCACAUGUGGAUACCCAUGAAAGAAACCCUUUCGGAUCACUCUCACCUUUGAAGAUUGGAAGCCCCAUUUUGAUGGUAUUUAGCCCUACUUCAUGGUUUUGGUUCCCUUGUUAGUUCCAAUGACCAACUCAUCCUUCCCAUCCAUGAAUUUUCCUUGGAUCAAUAUGUCUACCCCGUAUCUAUUCCCCUCUCAUAUAAGCAUCAUCAAAAGGUCCAUACCUCUUAUGUUAGAUAGGUCUAUUUGGGUUAAGUGGAGCUUGUAGUGGCAGAGUUAGAUUUGGUGGAAAGUGAGGUCUUUGGUCAAUUGAAGUUUGGUUAGGAGAGUUCAGGUUUUGGGGUGGCACAUGGGUUCCAAGUCCUUCGUGUAGGACUUGGUGAAGUAGUGGGUGGAUGGGUCUCUUAUGUUCUCAGUUUUGGGAGUAAAAUGGGGUUUUGUUUGUGACAUUGGAUGGUUGUCUCGGUGAGUGAAACAUUUGGUGCAAGGCCUCAAGAGUAAUGGUUGGGGAAAUGUUUUGAGGGGUAGAAGGUCGACUCCUUUAUCUUUCCACACGUUCUAAUCUCCUAUUCAUUGAUGUCACAUCUGUAUCUAAUUUCUCAAGAACCAUAUUCAACAUAGCCAUAUCUUAAGACAUAGUUUCAAGGUAAGCUAAGACGUGAUUGAUGGCAUUACUAUCCAUUGUUUGAGCAUUUGAAGCCUCAAGUUCCAUUGUGAUUGUAUUGGAAAUAAUCCUUUAAGUUACGAUCCAUGUAAUGCCUCGAAUAUAGAACCCAAAAUGCUACAUAGUGGUCAUGACCCCGAAGGACCACAAGCUAACCCAUGACUGGAAUCUAUAACUGAGUACUAAAUAAUAUAUUGGAAAUAUGUGGAAUGUAAGUUGUAAGGCCAUAAGAUUCAAAACUGAACUAAUACUGAAUAUAAAACAAUGUCUGUAGUGGGGUAUGACAAUACCCAAAACUAAGAUAAACUGUUUGAAAUAUGCUGUAAUCUGAAAGCCUCUAAAUUUUCUGAAAUCUGUAGAGUUGAUGGGAUAUGUCCCUAACUAACUCUAAACUACUAAAAUAAUAAAGUAAUAAUAUAAUUAAGCUAUUCUCUAAUGAUGAGGACUCACUGCUGGUCUGGCUACUGAACGUCUGAUCUACUAAGGAUGCUCGGGAGCUCAUGCUUCUAAACCAAUAGUAUAACGAACCAUAGCGCAAAUGUAUCAGUAUGUUAAAUAUAAUGGUAUGCAAGUGAGGUAGGCUAAAUACAAGGGUUUAUAUGCAUGAACAAUAAUAACUGACUGUAUAAAAUGAACAUGAGAAUACAUGCAUGAAUAUGUAAUUGUAAUUGAGAUUGUGAUAACACUGGCGCAUAAAUUCUGAUAACGUGGAUUUACUGAUAUCUGAGUACUGAUACUGGGUUACUGAAUGAAUGAGUCUACUGAAUACUAAGGAACUAAUGUCAUAUUACUAAUAAAGGAAUAACUAUUUCUGAUAGUUCUGAUUAUGAAGAAUUGGUCUGAUUGACUAUAUCUAACUGUCCUGAAACUGAAUACUGAUAACAUGGAUUUCGUAUAAAUAUACUAUUAACUGAGUUCGUGAUUACAUGAUUACAAAGUCUUAAUACUGAUAACAUGAGUGACUGUAUCUGACAGUUGUGAUACUGAUGAAACUAGCUGGGUUACACACUGUACUGAUUUAACUAUAUCUUACAGUCCUGGAUUUCUGUAGAACUGAACUGAGUUGUAUUACUAAAAUUGGAUCUGAAACUAAGAUUGUGGGAGGUAAUUAUCUAACCGACAUACCCCGAAACUAAACUGGUGGGGUCCAACCUGUAACCCCAACUGAAAGGGUAUCAGUACUGUGCCACGAGAAAAGACAAACUGUGAGUAUACCCUUUCUGAUAGGGGCUCUUACAUCAAUCCCUCCUAGUAUAAAAGUCAAAUUAGAUGUAUAAAUCCCUAAACGCAUAGGGUGCAUCUUAACCUACGCUGGCUAUGUAGUUCUGGAACACAAGGAUUGCUUCUAAAGAUCCCACCCUCUACUGAAUAACAGGUGAAUCCCCAUCCUUUGGUUCUCUCGGUGCUGAAUCCUACUCCCAACUAAAUAAACACUAAACUGAUUUACUAAACUGAACUAAUACUAAUGGUAUUUUUUAGCGGAGCUAAACUGAGUUCACUGAGUUUCGUUGACUGACGAAAUGCUACUGAGAUUUGAGGAUUGAUGGAGAGUACUAAAGUUACUGAGAUUUCUGGGAUACUGAGGUUACCGAGAUUACUGAGUACUAAUGUUACUAAUACCACUGAGGUCACUGAGAUUACUGAGUAGCACUAGACUAAUACUGAAUUUACUGAGUUUUCCUAAGUCAUGAGACUGACUGAAUUCUAAGGAUCAUAGCUUGACUGAGAAUAUCGUGAAAACAUGACACUGGCUCUAGGUAAACAGCUAAAUUUUUAGGUACAAGUAUCCCCAGGACUCGAUAGCAUGAAACUGACAGGACAUGACACUUCUUGAACAUAUGACCAAUAUCAACAAUUCAUAAUAUAUUAAUUUGGGGAUUUCAUGAAGCACAUGGUUAUCAUAGUCUUGUACAUGAAUGGAAUUGCAUAUAAACAUGUCAUAAUUUCAUCAACCAAAUCUCAUGGACGUUCCCUCAACCAUUCAUAAUGCACGCAAUAUCAUGGAAGUCAUUCUUAGUCAUAGGGUAAAGCAUACACUUAUCACUUCGGUCACAAUUAAGCUAUAAUGCAUAAUUUCUAUUCUCUUAGGCAUUUUAUCAAACACCUAGGAAGCAUGACUUAGGGCAUAGGCAUGACAAUUUAAUUAAUACAACAAAACUCCAUAUUUUAACUCAAUUUCACAUGUUUCAGACCACAUACUAGAAUAGGUUCAUGAACAACACAUAAAGAUUUCAACUUGGGAAUCAUACAACUAUAAUCACAUGAACAUAAUCAACCCACAACAAGAUAUUAACAAUACAAGAUUUAAAACUUGAGUUUUGGGCUUCAUAGAUGAAAGGAAUCCAUGAAUUAACACUGUGCAUACCUUAGUUCUUGAUUCUACGAAGAUUGACAGAGAGAUUCUUGAAUUUGAGUCUUGGAUUCAAAUCCCCAAUUGAAAAUCCUAGCUUGUUAUUGAAAGAAAAUUGAGAGAAACAAUAUAUUUUAGGUUUUAAUUAUGGUUGAAUCAAGUGUUAUUGCGUAUAUAUAGGGGUGAGAAAUUAACCCUUUUAACCAUUGGACGCAUAUUUUAAUUCUAUGAAAAUUUCCCAACAUGGACCCCUAGCGCGAUGCAGCGCUAUCGCGUCGUAUCUUUUGAAUUUGACAACUCUGAAUUUGAGCCUUGGUGCAAUGCACUAUAAUCGCGGAGGCUCACUGGAUUUUGAUGAUUUCCAUUUUGGCUGGCUUCGCAACGCGUUGAUGGCUCAGGUGGCACAUUGUCUUACUAAAAUAGCUCUAACUCUUCGCCCAGGUGUUGAAUUCAGGCGAAUUUGGUAUCGAUGGAAAGCUUAUUCAAUUUCACACAUGAUAAAAAGUGAAAAUCUUGAAAAUAACACAUUUAUAAAAUUGGAUUCAUCUUUGAAACAAGUCUUUAACAUUUCUGGGAUGAUUUUAAGCUAGGUAGAAGUAUGGGGUAUUACAAUAUCUUCCCCUUGAGAAUAUUCGUACUCGAAUGAGACUGAUUUAGAUGGGAGAAAUGAUAAGAUAAAGUUCAUAAUGAACAUGACAGCUGAAACAUGACUACCUGACUGACAUUACUGAGAUUCAUACUGAGCAUACAUAUCAGAUGCAUAAUUUUAUGACUGAUUUGAUAUAGGAAUGCAUGACUGAAAGUACUGAUAAGUUGAUCAUGCAUAUCUGAUCUGUGAAUACAUGACUGAACCGACUCAUGAACAUGUGACUGAACAUGUAAGGGUAAUGAUGCCAAGUUUAAACUAAAACUGAGCAUGGAACCGAAUACCACAUUUGUAACUGAAACCUAAACAUGAAACUGGAUAUGCUUAAGAAAAGCUAUUACCUUGGGCUAAGUCUAAGCUUAAUUACUAAAUAUGCAUGUGUGAAAACAUAAGAACGUAACUGGGUUUGGAACGUGAUACAUGAGUUGAAUAUUGUGAUCUGAAUUAAGUACCUUAAAUAUGUGGCAUACGACCAAGAUUAGAGCUAGAGGGUCAACCUAUGGGUAGCCACUACUCCAAAUAGGAUUUGUUACAAGAAGAGAGUGGCAUGUUUAUGUCAUGAAAGUUUUGGAGAAUUAUAGUGUAUCUCCCCAUUGGGACACUAGGUCCUUAGAAGAAUACUGACUUGACUGCGAUACUAAAGAAAAUUGGGAUGAAACACAAAACACCAACGAACUGAAUCGUGACUGAAUAUCUGGGAUAUAAAACUAAGGCAUGAUACAUGAACCAAGUUUAACACACAACUACCUAGUUGGUCCAUCUUAGAAUAAUCACAUUCAUGAGAUUUCGAAUUGUACGAUUAGGUGGAAAGAUGGGGAAACCAUACCAUCUAAACUUGUCCGUUUUGACUGCUAAACUGAAGUAUUGGCUUUGUGAACUAACUCAUGCUGAAAACUUAUACUUGACUGGAGCAUUUCUAUGACACUCUUUAUAUAGAGUUCUAAUGACUGUAGAGAGAAAUCAAAUCUUAGCCUGGUCUGAGCAGGACAGAGAUCGCUACAUGGCUGAGGUUCUUAUAUUAGGAGGUAAGGACUAUGAAACAUCAUCUAAGAUUAAGUGACCAAACCUUAUGCACUACAACUAAGACUGCAGAAAAGGUUCACAUGGUGUUGAGAACGAAUGCAUAAAUAUACUAAUUUAUCUGAUUAACUGAAUGACUUAU
rnacentral:lncRNA from 1 species